GGUUCAGUGGUCUAGUGGUUAUGAUUUGUGUCUCACAUUGUUUAUGCUGAGUGGGGUUCACACAAGGUCCCCGGUUCGAUCCCGGGCUGAACCA